rnacentral:rRNA from 1 species
UGAGUAACCUGCCCUUCACUCUGGGAUAACUCCGGGAAACCGGGGCUAAUACUGGAUAUGACUCGAACAGGCAUCUGUUUCGGGUGGAAAGAUUUAUUGGUGGAGGAUGGACUCGCGGCCUAUCGGCUUGUUGGUGAGGUAAUGGCUCACCAAGGCGACGACGGGUAGCCGGCCUGAGAGGGCGAUCGGCCACACUGGGACUGAGACACGGCCCAGACUCCUACGGGAGGCA